rnacentral:rRNA from 1 species
UACAUGGGGUGCAAACGUUGCUCGGAAUUAUUGGGCGUAAAGCGCACGUAGGCGGUUCGUUAAGUCGGAUGUGAAAGCCCUCGGCUCAACUGAGGAAGUGCACCCGAAACUGGCGAGCUUGAGUACGAAAGAGGAUCGCGGAAUUCCCGGUGUAGAGGUGAAAUUCGUAGAUAUCGGGAGGAACACCGGUGGCGAAGGCGGCGAUCUGGGUCGAUACUGACGCUGGGGCACGAAAGCGUGGGGAGCAAACAGG